rnacentral:rRNA from 1 species
GACGAACGCUGGCGGCGUGCUUAACACAUGCAAGUCGAACGGAAAGGCCUCUUUCUGGGGGUACUCGCGUGGGCAACGGGUGAGUAACACGUGAGUAACCUGCCCUUGUCUUUGGGAUAACUUCAUUAAACUAGGGCUAAUACCUGCUAGGAGCUCCUGCUGCAUGGUGGGGUUUGGAGAGUUUCGGCGGUUGGGGGUGGACUCGCGACUUAUCCGCUUGGCGUUGGGAUAGUGGGUUACCAAGGCGUUGGCGGGUAGCCGGACUGUGAGGGUGAGCGGCCGCACUGGGACCGAGGGGCGGCACAGACUGCGAAGGGAGGCAGCAGUGGGGAAUCCUGCACGAGGGGUGGAAGCCUGAUGCAGCAAGGCCGUGUGCCGGAUGACGCUCUUAGGGUUGAAAACCGCUUUCGCUCAUGACGAAGCUUUGUGUGACGGUAGUGGGUAAAGAAGCACCGGCUAACUACGUG